rfam:Camelus ferus unplaced genomic scaffold scaffold262, whole genome shotgun sequence.
UGAAACAGAGGAGAAAUUACAGCAAUUCAUCAACCGAAAUGAUAGGGAUAGACAUGUGUCGGCAGUGGAAACAGUUUCUAACAAAAUUAAAGUAUUUAGAGACUUUCCUCAAAUUUCA